rnacentral:lncRNA from 1 species
AUUUUAUCAGAGAUGAGAAUUGCAACUCCUGCUUUUUUUUGCUUUCCAUUAGCUUGGCAAAUCUUCCUCCAUUUCUUUAUUUUGAGUCUUUGUACAAGAAUUGCAACUCCUGCUUUUUAUUUAUUUAUUUAUUUAUUUUUGCUCUCCAUUUUGUUGGUAAAUCUUUCUCCAUUCCUUUGUUUUGAGUCUUUGUGUAUCCUUGCAUGUGAAACAGGUCUGGAUAUAACAUGCCGUUGGGUUUUGGCUGUGUCUUUUGAUUGGGGGAUUUAGUCAAUUUAAAUUUAGAGUUACUGCCAUUUGAUAUUGACUGGCUGUUUGAUCCAUUUGUUGAUGAAAAUUCUUCUUUAUGUUGGUGCUCUUUAUUUUUUGGUAUAUUUUUAGAAUGGCUAAUACUGGUUGUUUCUUUCUGUGUGUAAUGCCUCUUUCAGAAGCUCUUGUAAAGCAGGCCUGGUGGUAAUAAAAUCUCUGAGUACUUGCUUGUUCAUAAAAGAUUUUAUUUUUCCUUCAGUUGUGAAGCUUAGUUUGGCUGGAUAUAAAAUUCUGGGCUGAAGGUUCUGUUCUUUGAGGAUGUUGAAUAUUGGCCCCCACUCUCUUCUGGCUUGUAGAGUUUCUUCUGAGAGAUCUGCUGUGAGUCUGAUAGGCUUGCCUUUGUGGGUAAUCUGACCUUUCUCUGGCUGCCCUUAGUAUUUUCUCCUUCGUUUCAACCCUGGUGAAUCUAAUGAUUAUGUGCCUUGGGGUUGUUCUUCUUGAGGAAUAUCUUUGUGGUGUUCUCUGUAUUACCUGGGGUUGAAUAUUGACCUGCUUUGCUAGUUCAGGAAAAUUUUCCUGAAUAAUAUCCUGAAGGGUAUUUUCCAGCUUGGAUACAUUCUCUCUGUCGCAUUCAGGUACACCUAUCAAACGUAAAUUUGGUCUUUUCACAUAGUCCCACAUUUCUUGGAGACUUUGCUCAUUCCUUUUUAUCCUUUUUUCUCUAAUCUUGUCUUCUUGUUUUAUUUCAUUAAGUUGGACUUUGACCUCUGUUAUCCUUUCUUCUGCUUGAACAAUUCGAGUGUUUAAACCUGUGCCAUACUUCUCGGAGUUCCUGUAUUUUAUUCUUCAGUUUCAUUAAUUCACUUAUAUUCCUCUCUAAGUUGCCUAUUCUCAAUAGGAUUUCACCAAACCUUUUUUCAAAGUUCCUAGUUUCUUUAUGUUGGGCUACAACAUGUUCUUUUAACUCACAGAAGCUUCUUAUCAUCCAUUCCCUGAAGAGUGAUUCUGUCAUUGUGAUGUGCUCGUUCUCCAUCAAGCCUUGUUCCAUUGUUGAUGUGGAACUGUGAUCAUCUUUAGAGGGAGA